rnacentral:lncRNA from 1 species
GCGAAAACUCCUCCAAUCUAUAAAAUUAGUCAAGAAAUCAGGUAGGGAUCCUCUGGUUCUUGACCCUCUAAUGCUUAAGUCAGUUCGAGUCUUAAGAAUAGAAAUGAAAAAGAGUGAAGAGCAAGAGAGAUUGAGUGAAACUAGAGGAGAACUGGAUGGAAGCCAAGAGUCUGGCCUAAUUUUCUACUGACAGAGUUUUCUCUAGUUUCAGAGAGUA